GGCCGCGGUACCCUAACCGUGCAAAGGUAGCGUAAUCACCUGUCUAUUAAUUGUAGACCCGUAUGAAUGGCAAAAUGAGGGUCUAGCUGUCUCUUAUAGUAAAUCAAUUAAACUGAUCCCCCAGUCCAAAAGCUGGGAUAAAAACAUAAGACCAGAAGACCCUGUGAAGCUUAAAUUAAACUAUUAAAACAUAUAAUACCUACUUUCGGUUGGGGCGACCUUGGAAAAAAACAGAACUUCCAAAAAAAUGACCUAUCAUCAACCAUAUAAGGCAAACAAGCCAACAACUAGACCCAGUAAAACUGAGCAUUGAAACAAGUUACUCCAGGGAUAACAGCGCUAUCUUCUUCAAGAGCCCAUAUCAAAAAGAAGGUUUACGACCUCGAUGUUGGAUCAGGACAUCCUAGUGGUGCAGCAGCUACUAAAGGUUCGUUUGUUCAACGAUUAACAGUCCCACGUGAUCUGAGU
rnacentral:rRNA from 1 species